UACGUAGGGUGCGAGCGUUAAUCGGAAUUACUGGGCGUAAAGCGUGCGCAGGCGGCGCGUUAAGCCAGGUGUGAAAGCCCCGAGCUUAACUUGGGAAUUGCGCUUGUGACUGGCGUGCUGGAGUGUGGCAGAGGGAGGUGGAAUUCCACGUGUAGCAGUGAAAUGCGUAGAGGUGUGGAGGAACACCGAUGGCGAAGGCAGCCUCCUGGGCCAGCACUGACGCUCAUGCACGAAAGCGUGGGGAGCAAACAGG
rnacentral:rRNA from 1 species